AGCUUUGCCCAGUGGCAGUAUCGUAGCCAAUGAGGUUUAUCUGAGAUGCAAUUAUUGCUAAUUGAAAAAUUAUGGUUUAAAAGUAAUGCCUUUGUAUGUCAAGUUGACAAAUGGUCAAUUGUCCUGUUUAGUUUUGUCAACUUGACACAAACUAUAGACACCUGAGAAGAGAG
rnacentral:snRNA from 11 species